AAGAAAGAAUGCAAGAACUGCUAAUUCAUGCUACCAUACCUAAACUUAUGGCUUUCUUA
rnacentral:tRNA from 1 species